GCGGAAGUAGCUCAGUGGUAGAGCACAACCUUGCCAAGGUUGGGGUCGCGGGUUCGAAUCCCGUCUUCCGCU
rnacentral:tRNA from 2 species